GUGGGGAAUAUUGGGCAAUGGGCGAAAGCCUGACCCAGCAACGCCGCGUGAAGGAAGAAGGUUUUCGGAUCGUAAACUUCUAUCCUUGGUGAAGAUAAUGACGGUAGCCAAGAAGGAAGCCCCGGCUAACUACGUGCCAGCAGCCGCGGUAAUACGUAGGGGGCAAGCGUUGUCCGGAAUGAUUGGGCGUAAAGGGCGCGUAGGCGGCCCGGUAAGUCUGAAGUGAAAGUCCUGCUUUUAAGGUGGGAAUUGCUUUGGAUACUGUCGGGCUUGAGUGCAGGAGAGGUAAGCGGAAUUCCCGGUGUAGCGGUGAAAUGCGUAGAGAUCGGGAGGAACACCAGUGGCGAAGGCGGCUUACUGGACUGUAACUGACGCUGAGGUGCGAAAGUGUGGGGAGCAAACAGGAUUAGAAACCCCAGUAGUCC
rnacentral:rRNA from 1 species